rnacentral:rRNA from 1 species
GAUGAACGCUAGCGGCAGGCUUAAUACAUGCAAGUCAAGGGGGUAGCAAUACUACCGGCGCACGGGUGAGUAACACGUACAUAACAUACCAUAUACUGGGGUAUAGCUUUGGGAAACUGAAGGUAAUCCCCCAUAACAUUGCGAGAGGGCAUCUGAUUGCAAUUAAAGUUUCGACGGUAUAUGAUUGAUGUGCGUUUGAUUAGCUUGUUGGUAGGGUAACGGCCUACCAAGGCGACGAUCAAUAGCUGGCGUGAGAGCGCGACCAGCCACACUGGAACUGAGACACGGUCCAGACUCCUACGGGAGGCAGCAGUAGGGAAUAUUGGACAAUGGGCGAAAGCCUGAUCCAGCCAUGCCGCGUGAUAGAUGAAGGCCCUCUGGGUUGUAAAUAUCUUUUAUCUGGGAAGAAACAAUCUUAUUCUUAAGAUCUUGACGGUACCACGAGGAAUAAGCACCGGCUAACUCCGUGCCAGCAGCCG